UGUGCGGGCCGGGCCCCUCUGGCGGUUGGAUGAUGUGACAUGUCCAGCCGUGAUGUCGGACCGCAUCG
rfam:Sphingobium chungbukense strain DJ77 contig00021, whole genome shotgun sequence.